rnacentral:lncRNA from 1 species
AAUUAUUAUUUUCUUGAUAAACGGAGACGACAAAGGCUCCAAACCUUUUUGAACAUCAUCAUAUGUUAGUGUAGGAUGCAACCAAGCAUUAAAACAAUAUUGUCAUAUUUUUUGAAAUUUUCUCAAAAUCUAUGGGCUAACCCCCUACAAAAAUAUCGAGUUUUUGGUAAAUUCGUUAUAUAAUGAAGCCAUAAUCUUUAGUGUUGUUUUAAAAUUUCUACCAUAUUCUAAAUUUGUAUUAAUGUAU